rnacentral:ribozyme from 1 species
AAAAAGAUGAAAAAAAAAAAAGCAGCAGAGUUCAUUUUUUUUUUUUCCUCGCGGCACUUUAUAUUUCCCGUAUUUACUUCGGUUUUGUGUGCUUUUUUUUUUGUUUUUCUAUGCAAAAUGUGUGUGCUU